UUUAAGUAGAAAAGAAAUUUUCAACACCACUUAGAAUUCCUCCAAGAGGAGGAGGAAAAGAAACUUCUUUCAGGCAAUCCACAUUCCUGAAUUCCUUGUGCCUGGCCUUUAUUCCUUCCUGUGAUGCUAUCUUUUCUACACUAACUGCCCCUGCCCCUUCUAACCUCAGGAGUCAUUCCCAGGGUAUCAAAUGACUAGCCUCAAGUGAUCCACCCAUUUCAGCCUCCCAAAGUCCUGGAAUUACAGGCCUGAGCCACCGUGCCCAGCCUGUUGUGCUUCUUUAUGUUUCGAAUGGAUGACCAGAGCCAUUUGCAAAAAUUUGAAUAAUUAUAUCAGAGGUACACAAAAAUUUGAAAUAAAAUCCCUUUUUUUUGUUUUUU
rnacentral:lncRNA from 1 species